rnacentral:rRNA from 1 species
CACGUAGGGCGCAAGCGUUGUCCGGAAUUAUUGGGCGUAAAGAGCUCGUAGGCGGUCUGUCGCGUCUGCUGUGAAAACCUGGGGCUUAACCCCGGGCCUGCAGUGGGUACGGGCAGACUAGAGUGCGGUAGGGGAGACUGGAAUUCCUGGUGUAGCGGUGAAAUGCGCAGAUAUCAGGAGGAACACCGGUGGCGAAGGCGGGUCUCUGGGCCGUAACUGACGCUGAGGGGCGAAAGCAUGGGGAGCGAACAGG